rnacentral:rRNA from 2 species
UACAGAGGGUGCAAGCGUUAAUCGGAAUUACUGGGCGUAAAGCGUGCGUAGGUGGUCUGUUAAGUCAGGUGUGAAAUCCUUGGGCUUAACCUGAGAAUUGCAUUUGAAACUAGCAGACUAGAGUGUGGUAGAGGGUAGUGGAACUCCCGGUGUAGCGGUGAAAUGCGUAGAUAUCGGGAAGAACACCAGUGGCGAAGGCGGCUACCUGGACCAACACUGACACUGAGGUACGAAAGCGUGGGGAGCAAACAGG